ACUUAAAUAGUUUAUAAAAAUAUCAAUUUGUGGAAUUGAAGAUAUGAGAUUUCAUUUUAAGUA
rnacentral:tRNA from 1 species